UACGGAGGAGGCAAGCGUUAUCCGGAAUUAUUGGGCGUAAAGCGUCCGAAGGUGGCGAUUCAAGUCUGCGGUCAAAGACUGGGGCUUAACCCUGGAAAGGCCGUGGAAACUGAAGAGCUAGAGUGCAGUAGGGGUAGAGGGAAUUCCCGGUGUAGCGGUGAAAUGCGUAGAGCUCGGGAAGAACAUCGGUGGCGAAAGCGCUCUGCUGGACUGCAACAGACACUCAGGGACGAAAGCUAGGGGAGCGAAUGGG
rnacentral:rRNA from 1 species